rnacentral:rRNA from 1 species
AGCAGGCGAGAAAACUUUGCAAUGUGCGAAAGCACGACAAGGUUAAUCCGAGUGGUUUCUGCUAAAGGAACCUUUUGUCAGUCCUAGAAACACUGAUGAAUAAGGGGUGGGCAAGUUCUGGUGUCAGCCGCCGCGGUAAAACCAGCACCUCAAGUGGUCAGGAUGAUUAUUGGGCCUAAAGCAUCCGUAGCCGGCUUUGUAAGUUUUCGGUUAAAUCCAUGCGCUCAACGUAUGGGCUGCCGGGAAUACUGCAAAGCUAGGGAGUGGGAGAGGUAGACGGUACUCGGUAGGAAGGGGUAAAAUCCUUUGAUCUAUUGAUGACCACCUGUGGCGAAGGCGGUCUACCAGAACACGUCCGACGGUGAGGGAUGAAAGCUGGGGGAGCAAACCGGAUUAGAUACCCGGGUAGUCCCAGCUGUAAACUAUGCAAACUCAGUGAUGCAUUGGCUUGAUGCCAAUGCAGUGCUGCAGGGAAGCCGUUAAGUUUGCCGCCUGGGAAGUACGUACGCAAGUAUGAAACUUAAAGGAAUUGGCGGGGGAGCACCACAAGGGGUGAAGCCUGCGGUUCAAUUGGAGUCAACGCCAGAAAUCUUACCCGGAGAGACAGCAGAAUGAAGGUCAAGCUGAAGACUUUACCAGACAAGCUGAGAGGAAGUGCAUGGCC